rnacentral:rRNA from 1 species
UACGUAGGGCGCGAGCGUUGUCCGGAUUUAUUGGGCGUAAAGAGCUCGUAGGCGGCUUGUCGCGUCGAAUGUGAAAUCUCAGGGCUCAACUCUGACAUUGCAUUCGAUACGGGCAGGCUAGAGUUCGGUAGGGGAGUCUGGAAUUCCUGGUGUAGCGGUGAAAUGCGCAGAUAUCAGGAAGAACACCCGUGGCGAAGGCGGCUCUCUGGGACGGUACUGACGCUGAGACGCGAAAGCGUGGGGAGCGAACAGG